rnacentral:rRNA from 1 species
GACGAACGCUGGCGGCGUGCCUAAUACAUGCAAGUAGAACGCUGAAGAGAGGAGCUUGCUCUUCUUGGAUGAGUUGCGAACGGGUGAGUAACGCGUAGGUAACCUGCCUUGUAGCGGGGGAUAACUAUUGGAAACGAUAGCUAAUACCGCAUAACAAUGGAUGACACAUGUCAUUUAUUUGAAAGGGGCAAUUGCUCCACUACAAGAUGGACCUGCGUUGUAUUAGCUAGUGGGUGAGGUAAUGGCUCACCUAGGCGACGAUACAUAGCCGACCUGAGAGGGUGAUCGGCCACACUGGGACUGAGACACGGCCCAGACUCCUACGGGAGGCAGCAGUAGGGAAUCUUCGGCAAUGGGGGCAACCCUGACCGAGCAACGCCGCGGGAGUGAAGAAGGGUUUCGGAUCGGAAAGCUCUGUUGUAAGUCAAGAACGGGUGUGAGAGUGGAAAGUUCACACUGUGACGGUAGCUUACCAGAAAGGGACGGCUAACUACGUG